rnacentral:rRNA from 1 species
UACGGGGGGGGCAAGCGUUGUUCGGAAUUACUGGGCGUAAAGGGCUCGUAGGUGGCCAACUAAGUCAGACGUGAAAUCCCUCAGCUUAACUGGGGAACUGCGUCGGAUACUGGAUGGCUUGAGUUUGGGAGAGGGAUGCGGAAUUCCAGGUGUAGCGGUGAAAUGCGUAGAUAUCUGGAGGAACACCGGUGGCGAAGGCGGCAUCCUGGACCGGCACUGACACUGAGGAGCGAAAGCCAGGGGAGCAAACGGG